rnacentral:lncRNA from 1 species
GUUAGGGAAGCUGAAGGUUGGAUGGUACUCGUGCAUGAUCCAAUUGGUCUUGAUCCCGUUAGGAACACGCCCCUCGUAGAAAACCAGAGUCUUCUUGGUAGCAAUAUGCUCCUUGGUGGUUUUAGUUUUGACUAUACGAUCCUUGCCUGUGACUUUCCAGUAUCCAGCUUGAGUUGUCCUAUUAGCCCGGUCGCUAUUUGCGUACUUGUAACUGCGAGGACAGAAGAAAUAACACUCUGGGUCGUUUGGCUCUUUAAUUGCUGAAAGCUCUGCAUGAUUUGUUGUUGAUUGAGAAAUUGCAAGUUAGAAAACAGGGAAAAAAUAGGAAAGUGAUAAGGAAAAAAAAAACAAAACAUUGCACUGGACACGUAUAUAUGAACACGUACCAGGCAGCACCCAAGGCUCAUAAUCGCACACAUUAGCCUCUGCGAUUGCGCUGACUUCUUGUUCACAGACACCGAGCAUUUUUAACCUCAAGUAAUAGGUCACCAACUCUUCAUCGGUUGGAUGGAAUCCAUAGCCUACGGGAGGUGGUCGAGAAUGCAUUGUUGUACUUGUCGUCUUUGAUUGAUCACGUCGUGUAUAACUAAGAGAAAGUUAAGGCAGAUUACAUAUAUAUAUAUAUAAAGAAAGUUACCAAAGCAUCAGAGGUUGCAAGAAUAAAUUCUAUAAUUUGUAAGAGAAGAAUGAAGUAUAGAGACAAGGAAGUACUGAAAAGGAAGCUGUUGGUGUGCAAUGGAAGCUGUGGUGUGCGGUCAAUAUAUAUAGGGGAUGCAGGGGAUGUUUGCGCUUCUAUAUAUCCAAGACUUCAAACACCCAGUCCCCUCACAGAAUCUACUUCACUCAGAAGUUCGUAGUUUCGAAGGCAUCAGAGGUCUAAGUGGGUCCCAUGUUAAACCGUGUCCUCCUUGUCAGUACAGUGUUUAUAUAUAUAGAAUGUGGUAAGUUCUAAAAAAAAAUGUUUUUUACUAGAAAAUAUAUAAAAAUAAUAUUUUAUUAUUAUUUAAAAAUUAAUUUAUAAAUAACAUAAAGUUUUUUAAAAAAAUCACAUUUUAGUACUCCAAUAGUGAGAACUUAGAAUUCCACAACUUGGAAUCCAAGCUCUUGGGGCUGCACUUAACUUCUGUAACCAUCAUAGAACAUUCGCGAACAAUCACUAAUAACGACCAAUGCAAGUCAAACUAUGUACUCAUUUGUUUUUGUUCUGCCUUUACAUUCUGUUUGGAAAAGAAGGAUGAAAAUAUAUACUUCUAAACAUGCGAGAAAUUAAAAAACAAUCAACAUAUGUCCUUGGAAAAAUAUUUAGUUAUUUACCCUCCAAUUCCCCUCGUGUCCCAAACAUGAAAAAUCCGUACAUCCAUCUUUAUUUCCUUUCCAUUUAUUUUCUUCCCUCUCGAAAUACGCUCUUCCCAAACACAUUGAUAGUCGAUCAAGUAGCAUGAAAAAAAAAUCUAACUGAAUUCUCGAUGGCUUGCGUGACAUCUCGUCUUUUAUAUAAUAUACAUUGUUGUGUCUCGUGAUAAAGAUAGAAGGAUUUUCAGAACGAUAAACAUGAUAUAAAAUUAAUAAAUGAUGCGGGCUAUUUAUAAAAUGCUUUUCUACGUACGGGGUUGAGAGUUUGAAUCUUACCUGCUAAAUUUGUUGUUUAAUUACGUAGAUACAUGUUUUUGUUUGAUCAUAAUUAUUUUUAAAAAGAUUUUAAACUGCAUCUAGCACAGAUGUGAUACUUCGAAAUACAUUGUUACAAGCCUUGAUGUUAUGCUGCAACCAAGUAGGUGGUGGUCCAGUGAUAAGAGUUUGGGAUCAAAAGGUUUGCUUCCUCUGUGGUCUCAGGUUCGAGCCAUGUGGUUGCUCAUAUGAUGGCCACUGGAGACUUACAUGGUCGUUAACUUCAGGACCCGUGGAAUUAAUCGAGGUACAUGUAAGCUGCUGGCCCGGACACCCAAGUUAAACUAAAAGAAAAUUAUAUGAAAUCUCUAUUUAAUGCUCUACAUGGCGAGUGUCUGUAGGGAGCUUCGUGUUGAUUUGAUCCUCCGCUCAGGUUAUUAAUGGCAGGUGGGAAGUACAAGUAGCUAGCUUGACACGGAAAAGGAUUGAUGACUACACUUUCUCUGCACGGUGAGUAUCCUUUUCCAUGUAUUUAUACUAUAGGAGUGUGUGGUCUUUUUUUCUUUGGAACCACACUUGCUUGACAAGUUUGAUUUUUAGGUUAACUUGAACGAGUUUUCAUGGUUUUUUUUUUUAAAGUAUUUCAAAAUCUAUAUAUAAAAAAAAUUGUGCAUAAGUUCAAGUGAUAUUUCAAAAGAGUUUUUCAAAUAUAGAUCCAUUAAGAAGUCCUUAUAUGUAAUAGUAAAGCCAAUUAUUAGUAAUGGUUUGUUUAUUUGCGGUCAUAAAUAAAAUAAAAUAAUGAAAAUUAUAAUUUGUUAUUUAAAAGAGUAUUUAACAAUAUCAAUAAAUAUUUUUUUUCUAAUUAUUUUAUAUGUUGCUAUUUGGCCCGUUCUUUAAUUAAAUAUCACAAAUAAAAACCACAUACAAAAAAAGAAAAAACACAAAUCUUGAGUGGUCAUGAGUCUAGUCCUUGGUUUUUUUGACAAGUUCAGGUCCUUCUUUAACAAUGAAUCGCAUCACCCUGACGUGAUCACAUGGUUUUUUUCUUAGGCAUCUCCAUCGAAGGCCCGCAUUCGCCUUCAAUACUGCAGUUCGGUUGCAGCUUCGAAAUCAGAGAUCGAGACCAUAUGGUGAUUUGGUUCACUUUUGGUGGUCUUCACAUCUGGUUUUUUCUUCAAUUUGCAGAGAACAUAUCCCCCCUGCACAUAUUGAAACAGAAAACCUAGAUUCAUCGAGUGAAUUAUUAGUACAUAAGAGCAUACACCAGUAAAAGCAAAUUAAUUUCUAAAAAAACACGGGGCGGCUACAUCACCAGAUAUUCAAAGUAAAAUCGAACGAACAGAACUUAAGAACCAAAAAUUACCGACUACAAUCUCCAUACCCAACAGAGUAUAUGACCAUUCCUUACAGCUUGAAAUAAUAAAGAGGUAUGAUAAUUGAGCAAAAAGUAAAGGACCAGAUUAACAUCCAAGUUUCCAAUUUCGUAGAAAUGAUAGCCAUAACUUACUUGGGCUAUUUUCCCCUUCCAUGUAAGAACAUUGCAACAAAUUAAUUCAAAUCAAUCUUUUUAAAAUAAUUUUCAAUUUAUUUUUUAAUUAAUACCUCUUCUCAAUUAUUUUUACUUUUUAUGAUAUUUUUAAUAUAUACAGCCUCCAUAAUAUUUCUUUUCAUUUCUUUUAUUCUAUUAAUUUUAUAUGUGUAUUGAUUUUCAUUACAAUUAGGUAAAUGAUCGUUUUUCUUCAUAGAUAAAGGUUUUUUUCCAUGUUAUUAUAAUUGCUUACUCACACACUUGUUUGCUAUUGCUGCCUCCCUUUUUUUCCAUAUGAUUCAAAUAAAAGCGGCUUAUUUAGAUAGUGUGGACAAUAACCCGAGUUAUUGGUCAGGACUAUAACAUAAAUUAUUGGGUUUUUUUAUAUAAAAAAAAAAACACAUUUGUGAUGCCUAAGUAUUGUACUGGAAAAAUAAUAUGUAUCUGCAGCAUAAAAUAGGUACCCAUCUAGUCAUGAGUCCUAUUUAUUAAGUAAAGAUCAAGAUUGUAAUAUAUUUAAAUUAUUUUUUUAAAAUGUGUUCGAGAUGAGCACAUUAAAAUAAUAUAAAAAAAACAAUAAAAAAUAUUAAUAUAAAACUAAAAAUAUUAGAAAAUUUAUAUAAAAAAAAAAGUCGGACUGCAGUAUCAAAAAGUCCCUGUUCCUUUUACCCUUAUACGCACCUAUGUUUUCCUUUUUAUCCCCUUCUUUCCAUAUUCCUGUGCUCUACAACUUUCAAUCUACUUUUUUUUUAUUUUUAUGUUUCCUUUUAUAUAUGAAUAUGUAAUGGUUUAAGUAACGAUUUCAUCCAAAAAAAAAACAUAAACUUCACAAUAGAAGUUCAAGUUGUUAAAUAUUUUCAACUUUUUAUUAAAUUUAUUUACUUCAUGUGGAUGUAUAAUUCACCAGCAAAUAUUUACGCGGGUGCUGGUUGAUUUUCAUCUGGAUGCCGUCAUUUCUCAUGGAGGACCCUGAGCCUGAGGCAUGUGCAUUGAACCGUCGUCGCAGGUUUUGAGAUGGAAAUGCGCACCUUUACUUGAACCAAAGACAUUUUUAGAAAGUACACGGUCUUAUAAAUCUCACAGGCUACAAUUAAACAGUCAGCAAUCAAGUAAAAAGCAGAACACAUUCGAGAUGCAUUAAAUUCCACUCCAGAAAAACAACAAAGGUACUUUCCUAUGACAUAUGAUCAGCCACAUCCAAUGCAUGCAGCGGAUGAACUGACCAGUUGGUCCUAGGUUUAAUACAAAUACGCUAUUAAGACUUAAAAAUAGGAACUUCAGGGCAUGAAGUUGGUACAGUGCUAUAUAUAGAUAAAGUUUGACAGACAUGGAUGCUAGGAACCCAUUGCGGGAAGGGGUUUUUUCAGUAAAUAUCCCCGUAUGGAAACUGUAGGGCAGAGUCCAGGCUAUAACAUCCCUCAAUAUCGUAGCCACGCAAUGAGUCCAGUUGUGCUUGGAAUUGAUAAGUAUCUUCCUGUAAAAGAAACACAAGUUGUUGAUAUAUUCUUCUUACACAUGAAAUAACUUGCAAAAAAAAACUGCUUGUUAGUGGUGCUGUUUAUCACCUCUGGCUCGUUGUUAGUGAAAUUAGAAACCGUCCAGGCACCAUAUUCACCUUCUUCAAAGGUUUGGGGAUGAUGACACUCAGUUGAGUUUUGAUUUUCAGAAUGAUCAGAAGUUACAUUGAAGCUUGCUUCACCUUCUUCAUAUGUUGGCUUGAUCGCAUGUGGAUCUUUCUUCAGUUUGCAGAGAACGAAUUCCCUCUACGCAAAAAGGAAACAAGAUCACGUGUAAAUACAGGGGGAAAGAGCACUUCAAGUCUUACGAGUGAUCAUUUUAGUUAGCUGGUAUUCAAAACCAAAAUUCUCAACACAAGUGCCAAGGAGUACUGUUGGUGAUCGACUGGUCUGAUCCCAAGCCUUUCGUUAAUUUUAUUUCUAUUGUACCCUCGAAUUCAAGUCUCUUUAUUGGAAUGAAGAGAGAAAAGGAAAGACUACAAAACAACUUAAGAUGUGCAGCAAUGGUACCUGGUUAGGGAAGCUGAAGUUUGGAUGGUACUCGUGCAUGAUCCAAUCGGUCUUGAUCCCGUUAGGAACACGCCCCUUGUAGAAAACCAGAGUCUUCUUGGUAGCAAUAUGCUCCUUGGUGGUUUUAGUUUUGACUAUACGAUCCUUGCCUGUGACUUUCCAGUAUCCAGCUUGAGUUGUCCUAUUAGCCCGGUCGCUAUUUGCGUACUUGUAACUGCGAGGACAGAAGAAAUAACACUCUGGGUCGUUUGGCUCUUUAAUUGCUG